rnacentral:rRNA from 1 species
GACGAACCGAGCGAACGUUGUUCGGAAUAACUGGGCUUAAAGGGCGCGUAGGCGGGCCGCCAAGUUCGAGGUGAAAUCCUCCGGCUCAACCGGAGAACUGCCUCGAAUAUUGGAGGCCUCGAGGCGGGUAGGGGCAUGCGGAACUGUGGGUGGAGCGGUGAAAUGCGUUGAUAUCCACAGGAACUCCGGUGGCGAAGGCGGCAUGCUGGACCCGAUCUGACGCUGAGGCGCGAAAGCCAGGGGAGCAAACGGG